rnacentral:piRNA from 1 species
UAGUUGAUAGUGGGAAAGACCUGUUCCUG